UACGAAGGGGGCUAGCGUUGUUCGGAAUUACUGGGCGUAAAGGGUGCGUAGGCGGUUGUUUAAGUCUGUCGUGAAAUCCCCGGGCUCAACCCGGGAACUGCGUCCGAUACUGGCAGGCUUGAAUCCGGGAGAGGGAUGCGGAAUUCCAGGUGUAGCGGUGAAAUGCGUAGAUAUCUGGAGGAACACCGGUGGCGAAGGCGACAUCCUGGACCGGUAUUGACGCUGAGGCGCGAAAGCGUGGGGAGCAAACAGG
rnacentral:rRNA from 1 species